GCGCGCUUUCCCGGCUGCGCGCCCGCCCGGUCACGCGCCCUGCUCACCGCGCGCUCGCGUGGGGGCGUCCCCUCUGGCCCCGCGCACGCGCGCUACGUCCCUCAGACUGGCUGCCCCCGAGGGUUCGCCCCCAAAUCCUGUCAGUCCACGGCCUUGAUGGAGCGGCCCCCGUGGGACGACCCUGUUGAUUGUGCUAGCGGAUGUUGUCUCCAUUCUGGAUCUGGGAAAAACUGUGGAGUGAAAGCCGGACCUGUUAGGGUUGGGACCUGAAAGCGGACUUUUUCGCUCUCAGACGGGCCCCAGGAAUUUCAUGUUUAACAGAGGUGUCUUCAAGGAGAUGAAACAAUUCAGAAUGACCUAGGCAAUGGGGUAAUUCCUAAGGAACAAGCUAUUCAUUCAUACAGCAUGGACGAAUAUUAAAUGCAUGUUGCUGAGUGAAAGAAGCCAGAAUGAUAAGGCUACAUCCUGGAAAAGUUUAUAUUCUGGAAAAGGCAAAACUUAUAGAGACAGAAACAAAUCAGCCAGUUGUUGCUGGGGUUUGGGAGAGAAGAAUGUUGACUAUGUGAAGAACAAGGGAUCUUGGGGGGCAUCUAUUCCAUAUGCUACUGUAGGGGUGGAUGCAUGAUACUAUCAUUUGUGGAAAACCAUAGAACUUUACAAAACUAACAGUGAACCUUAAUGUCUGCAAAAUUUUACAAAAUCAACUAGGAGGCUGGGGGAUCCCAGGAUGAAAUACAGGCAAUGACAAAAGAGCCUAACUCUAUUACACAUUUAUAACAUAACCGCACCGAAGAGGACUGGUAUUCUAUAACUGUGGAAAUAAUGGAAACUGGAAAACUGAAGACAAAAGGAACUGUACUUAGCACUAUACUCUAGUUGGUAAAGGCGUUUCUCAAGGGGUACCAGUUAACAAUUCUGAGACUGCUGUACAUGUAUGCAGAGACUGAACAAAUAAGUAAAUGGCUGGUACAUGCUCACUCUCAGGGAGGGAGGCCACAGAUAAACAAGAGGAAGAGGCUCUAAUGUCAUGUGUGGUUGUGGAUUAGAACCAGAAACAUAAAUAUGAACUCAUGUUUAGAUUAAUAUAGAUAUUAAUGGAUUGAUAUAGAAAUAAUGAUGAUAUGGGUAUAUAUACAGGUUAGUAUACAGUCAUAUAUUUCUUAUCCCUAUCCACUGAGAGGGCCUAGAAACAACAAUACUCCAGUAGCAACACACACAUCUCGUGCCCAUAUCUUGAUUUCUUUUGCCAUUUCCUAACAAAAGGAGCCAGGACUUCUUGGAGAAAUGGCUGAUUCUAAGACUGGGUCAGAGAGUAUACCAGAUGACGCUGGCACAUCUUCUACUGCUAGAAAGUAAGGAAAUGCUCAAAAAAUAAAACCACGGAGAUAUUUCAAAGGAACACAGAAGCCAAGUGGAACAGCUCCCAGUGGCCAAAGCUGGAAAAAUUGGGGCAAAAAAAAAAAAAAAAGUAUUAGGUUAUAAUCCAAAAUAUAAAAUAAAUAAUCACCAGCCCGUACUAAUGUGCAUAAAUUAUUGAAUAAAUAAGUAAAUGGGUGAAAAGAGAAAACUCUCUCCCAUACAAAGGAAGCCCAAAUAAUUUAUGUAGAUGAUCGCCCUGCAAUGAGGCAGAGGGCAACUCCCUACCCUGUGUUAAGUGUGGAUGGCACUUAGAGACUUGCUUCUGAAGAGCGCAAUACGGAAAGGAGGGGAGAAGUAACUUGGCAAUGAAGAAACCUGACAAACACCAUCUUCUCCAGGCAGCCAAGGUUAACACCAUCAGUGAUAAGUUACGUUGAUAGCCUGUAUUUUUGAUAUGAUGUGUUGAGAAUGUACUUAGUUUCUGUGGUCUUCUUCCCAAACACCUGACACCAGGCUCACCAGGAGAAAAUGAAUCCAAAUUAAGGGACAUUCUACAGAAUACCUGACCAACACUCCCUCCUAAAAACUGUCAAGGUCAUCAAGGAAUGUCUAGGAAGAAGGAAAGUCUGAGAAGUUGUCUCAGCCCAGAGGAGCCUUAAGAAGCCAUGACAGGGUCUCCAUCUGCCUCCCAGGCUGGAGUACAGCGGUGCCAUCACAGCUCACUGCAUCCACGACCUCCUGAGCUCAAUAGAUCUUCCAGCCUCAGCCUACUGAGUAGGUGGGACUACAGAAGUGCAUCACCAUGCCCGGCUAAUUUUUGUAUUUUUGGUAGAGAUGGGGUUUCGCCAUGUUGCCCAGGCUGGUCUCGAACUCCUGGGCUCAAACAAUGUACCCACCUCGGCCUCCCAAAGUGCUAGAAUUACUAACACUUUUGUAAAGUAAAAAGUUUAAAACAAAAAAUAAGAUUGGUAGAUGGAUAGAGGGUUGGAUAGAUAGCUGCGUGAUAAAGCUGUGUGAUAAAAUAUAAGAAAAUAUUAUUGGUAAGAUCUAGGUGCUGGGCAUAAAAGUGUUUGCUGUAAAAUUUCUCUGACUUUACUGUAUGUUGGAAAAUAUGCACAAUAAAAUGUUGGCAAAAAGAAUAUUAGUAUAAUUCAGAGUUAUUAAUGUUGCUCAUGUUUUUCUUUUUGCACUGUCAUCUUUCUUUUUUCCUUAUUUAUUUAUGGGCAUGAUUAUAUAUAGAAAGUUUUAAAAAAAUUUUUCCUGUUGCAUUUCAUUUCUGACCAUUACUACCAUUCAUUUUUUCAUGAUUAUUACUGAAAAUUAUUUUGUCAUGUGGAAGAUUGUUUUAAAAUUAUACCCUCUGGGUAUCAAAUCAUUAGAUAUGCCACUGCCAAGUAUAACCGAAUGUGUACUACCAAGGGGAUCCCCCAGC
rnacentral:lncRNA from 1 species